CGAAGAGGCUGCACGCACAGCCGCUGCCGGGGGUCGGGGCCAAGUGCGCGCCUCGCCGAGGACGAAGAGGCUGGCGUGCCCGGUGGCUCGGCUAGCUCCCGGGUCCCGGCCCCGCCUGGAGGAUGCGGCUGUGGGGGAAUGGGAGCGGCCGGACCUCCCAGCCUGACAGUGCAUCAAGAGCUUUGCGGAGCCUACAGCCCGG
rnacentral:lncRNA from 1 species